rnacentral:rRNA from 1 species
GACAGAGGGUGCAAACGUUGUUCGGAAUUACUGGGCGUAAAGCGCGUGUAGGCGGCCCUGCAAGUCGGAUGUGAAAUCCCACGGCUCAACCGUGGAAGUGCAUUCGAAACUGCAGGGCUAGAGUUCGGAAGAGGCGAGUGGAAUUCCUGGUGUAGCGGUGGAAUGCGCAGAUAUCAGGAGGAACACCAAUAGCGAAGGCAGCUCGCUGGGACGAUACUGACGCUAAGGCGCGAAAGCGUGGGGAGCGAACAGG